CCUCUGGGAGCUCAGUUGGUAGAGCGGUGGACUGUAGAUCCAUAGGUCGCUGGUUCAAAUCCGGCCCAGAGGA
rnacentral:tRNA from 1 species